rnacentral:rRNA from 1 species
GUCCACACUGUAAACGAUGAUGACUAACCGUUGGCGAUAUACAGUCAGUGGCCAAGCGAAAGCGAUAAGUCAUCCACCUGGGGAGUACGACCGCAAGGUUGAAAACUCAAAAGGAAUUGACGGGGGGCCCGCACAAGCGGAGGAACAUGUGGUUUAAUUCGAUGAUACGCGAGGAACCUUACCCAGGCUCGAAACGGCAGAGGGAUGACUCAGAGAUGGGUCAGUCUUCGGACUUCUGUCGAGGUGCUGCAUGGUUGUCGU